rnacentral:rRNA from 1 species
GAUGAACGCUGGCGGCGUGCCUAAUACAUGCAAGUCGAGCGAACAGAUGAGGAGCUUGCUCCUCUGACGUUAGCGGCGGACGGGUGAGUAACACGUGGAUAACCUACCUAUAAGACUGGGAUAACUUCGGGAAAACGGAGCUAAUACCGGAUAAUAUAUUGAACCGCAUGGUUCAAUAGUAAAAGACGGUUUUGCUGUCACUUAUAGAUGGAUCCGCGCCGCAUUAGCUAGUUGGUAAGGUAACGGCUUACCAAGGCAACGAUGCGUAGCCGACCUGAGAGGAUGAUCGGCCACACUGGAACUGAGACACGGUCCAGACUCCUACGGGAGGCAGCAGUAGGGAAUCUUCCGCAAUGGGCGAAAGCCUGACGGAGCAACGCCGCGUGAGUGAUGAAGGUCUUCGGAUCGUAAAACUCUGUUAUUAGGGAAGAACAAAUGUGUAAGUAACUAUGCACGUCUUGACGGUACCUAAUCAGAAAGCCACGGCUAACUACGUG